rnacentral:rRNA from 1 species
AUGGCCCGACAGAAGAAGACCACCUAUGUUAUGCUAACACCACAGCGGCGUUUCCAGUUCCAGAUGAUCAAGGAGAUCCGGGCUAGGCGCCCGGAUUGCAGCGGGGUUGCCUUCAAACUCGCCGGAGCCAAAGGAGGAGGACGAGGAGGGGAGCAGCAGACGGAUCACAUGGAAGGGACGGUUCCGAUGGAGGAGGAUGCGGAGAAGCCGAAGGAGGAGCCGCAACCGGUUGCGGGCAUUGCCAUGCAAGAUGCCAUGGUGGAGUCAGCUCGCAAUACAUCCGGUGAGAACGGGAAGACCGAGGGCUUUGCCAUGCAAGAUGCCAUGGUGGAGUUCGAGCUCGCCCAAGUGGCGGAGAUGGCGGAGCUGAUUGCCACCCCGGAGUCCACGAGGAUCGUGGACAUCUUCGACGAUGAGAAGGUUUCAAGUAUGAGCCCGAUCCAGAUCCCCAACCCACUCGCCGCCGGCCUCCCUUCCACCUCCUCUCCUCCCUCCGUCCGCCCCCACGCCCCCCGUCGCGUGCGCCACGCCGGCCUCCAACUACGACCUCACGCAUCGAGCGCGCGCGCUGGCGCAGCCCUGAGUCACCCGCCGCGUCCACGCCGAGACGCCCUCCAUCCUCACCUUCCAGGUCCGUUCCUCCUCCCCCCCAAUCCCUGUCUUUCUUCCCUCGUUCCAGUUCCUGCAUUUGGGGAUAUCUUGUUGUGCAAUCUGGAUACCAUUGCCCGUUCCAGCACGCGGUUGCUGCUCGAUUCGUUAGUCUUGGGAGAAAGCAGAACAAAUUUGAGGCUGCAGCACAAGUUGCUGGACAACUUCUUCUCCGCUCACUCGCCGUCUCCCGUCUCAUGGCCGAGCUCAAGGUCCGCUCACUCGCCGCCUCCUCACCGAUUCCAGCCCUGGUUGUUAAUACCUAGGCGAAUGUAUACCCAUCCACCUGAUGGUUUUCUUAGUUUAUCAAGCAGUCCACGAACGCCAACAUUCCAGCCAAUGCACUAUCCAUCUCAUGUCCCCCCUCCUAGACAACAGCAACAGGAGAAUCUCCAUUUUGUCGGUGUCCCCUCACAUGUUGCAUUCUCAACACCACCACCACCACCAAACAGGCCGGUGAUGUCUUUGGUUGUCAUGAGGCUGGCCGGUGAGAAUGCCACGUUGCCGGAGCCAAAUGAGCCCGGCGUAAACCUGCGGAGGAACAUGACAGAUACAGGAUUUUCUGAAAAUGAAAGCGAGUUCACCAUGACUACAACAGAUACUAGAAUUACUGAUUGCUCUUUGUUCUCAUUUUCCUUGUUAGCUGAAACUAUUCCUUGUCUACAGAUAAGCGGAAGCCGUGUUCGGAGCCACCAACAGUGUCUUCCUUGGAUUCGUUCGUGCAAUAAGGAGGGUACCCGGCCUUCUUCACGUGUCGAGCAACAAGAUUUUCGUGGCCCGGUGGGUGUCGUGCUCUUCAACCACUUGGAGGCGGACUUCACCGUGAAGCCCAGUGACUACUGCACACAGAUGAUCAUCCAGGUGAUUGCGAUGUCGGAGGUCGCCAAGGUGGAGGUCCUCGACGCCACCGUCCGGGGGGAGGUCCACCGGUGUCUGAACUCCAAGCCUUAG